AGACUGUGCUGGAGCAGCCGGCGAGCCGCCUCGCGUGCCGUGCACAUGGCAUGAGGAGCAUCCCAGCCGCAUGGCCACGCUCCCCUCGUCACCUGCAGGGAACACCUGGGUGUGGGGACAGCGGGGAGCAGCACACGUGGUUGGCACCCGGGAUGUGCAGGAAGGCUGGCUGGCACCUGACAUACAGUUUGAAAGCACUGUGGCAGAAAAAAAAACCACGAAAGUUGUUGCUUCAAAGUCUCAACCCACUAUUUUCCCUGGGCAUUGAGCCAGCCACUGAAGGAAGAGGAAAGCUGCUAUUUAAAGAGUCACCAAACCCUGCGAUUCAGGGUAACGAACACGGCUCGUUACAGUCCCCUCUGCUAAAAGCAGGGGCAAAUGGAAGAGGCACAGCUGGGUGCUGUCCUCAGUCAAACUCAGAGGAGGAAGGCCAGGGAGAUGCUGCCGGCAACUGCCUCUCCACCCCGGCUUCCCAGUGGAAUAAGAACAAACUUCACUCCUUCGCUGCCAGCAAGGAACCAGGGGCUGCUGGGCACAAGGUCCUGCCUGUUGCUGUCAGGCAAGAUGCAAGAAGAUCACUCCACUGAACUGAAAGAGCAAGGCACGGUACCUUUCACUUGUUACAGAAGUUAGCAGAUUGUACAAAGCUCCUGGUCUCACAGUUGUGAAAUAACACAUACUUUGCAUCAGAACCACGCUGGGGAAAGGAAAGGUGCAAGCUUCCAUGGAGCUGCUGUUCCUUCUUCAUGACUUGCAGCAGUACACCUGAGAACAGCUCCUGCCAGAGCCGGGAUGCUCCGUGUGUUGGCUCCUGCUGAGGGGGCACGGAAGUACGUCGGAAGAAGUUCCUGCAACACCAGAUUGCCAUCGCCUGCUUGCUCUCAGAUCCGACCGCCCCACAUCGAGCCCCUAUCUAAUUUAAGUGCUUCCCUGGGGGAAAUUAGAGGAGAAUAAAAACGAUGGGCUUUUGUUUCCAGCUUAGUCUCAGGAACGCCGAUGCUGCGUGUUGCUGCUGUAAAACCUCUCAGAAACAAUCCCAGCGUGACCUCCUGCAUCCAGGGCUUCCUGCUAUCAUAAACUGCAAAGCAGCAUGCUGUGUCCUGCCCAUAAGGCAGACAGACAACAGACUGUGGUCUAAUUAGAAAAGACAUGCUUCCCACAUUCUCCAUAAAGCCGCCUCAGCCUACAACUAAGGACAAAUAAAUAACUGUCAGCGCUAAUAAGCCCGGAAUCACAGAGGAAGGGAAGAAGCAAACUGGAUCUAUGUCAAUCUCAUCCAAUUGAUCAGAGAGAGCACGUGGCAACAACCACGAAGACAAAAGCAGCUCCACCUGCAGCAGUUCCUCUUCAGCAGAUCAGCUGUGCUCUGCUUCAUGGGGCUGUGCCAGCCCCUCGUCAUCCUUCUGCAUUGCUAAACUAACCAGAGGCCCAAACUGCCACAGGUGAUUAACAGAUCCACAGAAUGGAGGAUUGACUCCUCCAUUCUGAUGUGCCAGAGCACCCUAGGACAGCAUGGGACCAGCCAGACCUUACCAAAAUCUCCCUGUAGGAUGGGAUACACCAACCCCAAACACUUCAGCCCUCCCUGAGAGCUGGUUGUGUAACAUGUACAGUUGUACAAUUCUACCAAGCAAGAUCCUCAGCCUGUUGCUGGGGUUAAGAAAAAUGGAAGAAUUUACAUCACGGAGGGGAGUAAUUACAUGUACAAGAUUGUUCCCAGUGAUCUUUUCCAAUAGAAGACAUGAUGACCAAGUUGGAGUCACCCAAAUUGCCUCGGUUAAGUCCUCCCAUUCCUUCCUCAGCCACCAAGUGACCAUUCAGGCAUCUGUUCUGAAUUAAUUUUCAUUAAUUUUUGCCUUUCUGCCCACAGACCUGAGGCACAGCCUGGCCCCUGGACAACUUCGUUCCCUUGGGAUCCUGUCCCUGCCCUGUGAUAAGGGAGCAGCCACGGGGAUUAAGCAGUGCCGGCUUCCACGUGGCUGCAGAACCAAUGUCCUGUGUCAUUCACUGGGUACAACACACACCUGACAAGCUCUAGCAUUUCCACCACUGGCUUUUACUCACUGAGAAGAAUAUGGGCUGAACUCGAGACCAGGAGCCUGCACAAAGCUUUUCCUGCAAGAACGGUGACAGCAGGAGCCACCAUAUGGGAUGAGACACGAAGCAACUUUGCCUUAGCCCUGCUGAUUGAAUAGGACUAAUCAGGCUGAACUCAGUGCCCAUCUGCUGAUGGCUGCGUAACCAAGAAGCAUCACCCAUGAGCUGGCAGGACCAGGGCAGGGAGUGACACCCACAGCUCACCUGAUCCUCUCAGCUCCAUCCCAGAGAGAUCAGCCUCUGGAGACAGCGACUCUGCCUCUCUAGAAUGGCAGUGUUCCAGAGCUGCUCCAGGGGGUGCCACAGCAUGGAAGCAGGCAGCCCUGAAGAAGUGAUGGGACACGACCCAAAGAGACAUGAACCUUGUGAAUGUGCACUUCAGAUUGCAUCAGAAGCAGGCUCAGUACCAUGCCACAGACUCAAAACUCUCCAGAUUUCAUCCCCUCCAAUUUGUGGCACCAGCUGGAAGCCAGGACGUUGAGAGGGUGGAGAUACACCACAGAGAAGCUGCAAGAUGCACCAAGGCAGUAGAUCAGAGCCAAAAGCAAGGACCUGGGGAAAUGCAGCCUGGUCUCGCUGACAUCAUUGCAUCCUCAUCCUGUGCUGAGCCGGCUGCUCAGGGUGCGUGCCCAUGCCAGAUACACUGAUUGCUUUCUGCAAACAGCUUAUCCGCAGACAGCUGGACUAAACCCAACCCCAUUUCACGUGAGUCACUGACCAAGAGGUCAGGAAGCAAUGCCUCCUCAGCUCCAUCUGCAAGGGCUGGAUUCAAACCACUGACUACAGCACCGGAGAAACUCCCCAGUUUCCCCCCUAACUCCUCAGCUAAAGGACAUUUCUUCCCCACCGACAUCCCCAGUGGCUGUAUCAGAAUGAGCAGAGCUAUUUCUCCCUGCAAUGCCUACAGGAAAAUUCCCUUUCAAAGGCUCAGUUAUACAGGAACAUCUCAGGAACUGCCCGUGUGAGUCAGCUAUUCCCCUGAAUCCUAACAACCUUUUCUGCAGGAGCUGGUUGGGAAAGGAAAAAGCAGAAAGACAAAAAGAUUGUGUCCUAAAUAAAAACACACGUAACCACUUGCCAAAAAAGAAAAAAAAAAUAGAGGAAAAAACACAUUUAGCUUUUUAGGGCGGUAACAAGCAGAACAAUAUUCAGCUUCAAGGCUAUGCAGGCAGGUCAGAAAAUCCUCCAGAGAAGAAGAACUAGGCCACAGAACUCCAAUGCAGCUUCUCGAAUCUGCCCCUGUUAUCCAAAACUGGUGGUGAGGUCACUCUGAUGGCUGAGCUGGCUGCUCUCCUUUAUACAGGUGUUCACGUGGCCAUGGGAAGUCUGUGCUCCUGCUGGCCUCCCUAGCUGGCUCUAGAACACACAGCCAAGCUCCAGCACAGCAAGAGGUGGAGCUGGCAGACAACUUCCUGGGGGAAAGCUCUUUGAGUUCACUCGUCCCCACCUCCCCCAGGGAAAUCACUUAACCAUUGCGAGUAACAGCAUUGCUGAAAAGAACGUGCAAAAACCUGGAAAAUGCAUCAUUUUAUCAACAGAAGCAAGGUCAUCCAAACCCAGCGAUGACUACAUUCAAUAUUAAUAUCUCCCUUUCUCCAAGCAGGGUUCGAACCUCUUGGUAAGCAUCCAUUCCCCAGAGAAAUGUCUUCCAGUAACUUUGAUGUGAACUAAUUACGUUUGCACAGCUAAUAAGUGCCAUCUGCCCGAGACUCCGCAGCCUGGGAGAGGAAGGGCUGCUCAGCUCAGUGCUGGCUGUGCCAGCGCCCUCACUGCUUCCUCCUGCACAACACAAACCCAAAUCCCAGCAGGGAUCUGGCAGUGGGAACGCAGCGCAGCCAGAAUGAUGGAGCCUCGGAUGGAUGCCUUCCUCCUCACACAUCUUAUUUGACCCUUGGUUUAUCCUCAUUUCCAGGAACUCCAUUUCUUUCUGUUGGUCCAGCCCUGAGCUGCCGUAUACAAUGCUUUAAUGAGGUCCACUCCACUGACAUAAAGGGCACAUCAACAGCACUGCUCCAUUUAUUUCUACUUGGCACAUUCAACCUAAUUCUCAAAAAAAGAGUUUGAAAAGAUCCAUUAAGAGUGCAGCCCCAACUGGUAAACAAUGCCCAUUUCUGGAUGGGCCUCAGCAACCCAAUCAGUGAAGGCAUUUAAGGACAGCACGUACAAUAUUGGAAAAUGAAAUUGCUUUGAAAAAAGAUUCCUUCUUGCUUAUUUGCCAGAUAAUGACAGAAGAGCUGAUGCCAAGCACAGCCAAUCUGUCCGAGGGUGUUCAAAGAGAUGCUCCCUAUGCUGAGGCUCCACUCCUUUCCCUUCUCACCACCCAGAUGCAUCCAGCCUGCUGUUCCCCACCCUCACCUGGGCAGAACACCUCCAGGCAACGCAUCUCCAUCAAUACAGAGGCAGCAAAAUCCCAAAGCUGUGUGACGAGGUAUACCGGUGCCUUGUUUUUCUUUCCCAAUACAAAAACAUCCUGGAUUUUGCACUCUUCUUUCACCGGAGGCAAGGACACGUUGUUGAGUUGUCUUCCCCUUGUAAAUAUUUGCUGCUGAAAUCCGUUUGUAGUACAAAACUUCUCUAAGGAAGAGAGAAGCUGACUCUCUGUUGUAUUUAGUACUAUUUCUUGUGUCAUCUGCUGUGUUUCCCUACUAUUUUUACAGAUUUAAGAAGUACCGGAUGCUAUUCUGCAUGCAGAAAUACAGAGAUAAAAAAAAAGAAGAAGAAAGGCAAAGCAGCUCCACAAAUAGAGCUCAGAAUUAAGCCCUAUUUUGGGAGCCCCAGGCUCAGCUCCUUGCUGUGCCACAUCUCCCACGUGGCCCUGCUGCUGCCCUACCACCACAGGGACAGCAUCCCAAUAAGGGUGCAGCCCCACUUAUGGACUCCCCAGGGCCCUGCAGGGGCUCUUCCAUUGCAAAGCCCAAAGCAGUGCAGCCAUACUGGCCCUGGCCACAGCUCCCUGAGUGCCAUCCCAUGGCACCCCGCUCUGCCCUGUCCCUUCCCCCUGUUAACUUCCAUAUAAUAACUGAAAAAUUUGACAAGCCCAACUUUAAUCAUGUUCUAACUGGGGUCGGUAUCAUUAAUCUCGCAGCCACUGAUGGGUAAUUUAAUUAGGGUGCAUUUGUAAUGAAUUACAAUCAUCAUUUAGCGCUAUUGUUCCUAACACGAGCAGAGGGGAGGCAGAAGACCGGCAUCGUUGAUCUUUUUAAUUACACUCACACAAUACGAAAGCCACCCCAGCCCCAACUGCUCAGUGCUGGUGGCACAGGCACACACAAGCAGCAGUCAUCCUGCAGCCUGAGCCCAGCCUGCUCCCCACCAGCCCUGGGAGUGGGACCUUUGCUAGAGCAGAGAGAAAUACCAAAGCCAGGACAGAAACCGCACACCCCAGCUCUGCUUCCCACCAGCUAUGAAUACUUGAUACAGAUUUUAAGGACCAGCCUGACACUUCACAUGGCCAAGUGCUCCAGAAGUAUUCCAACAACCUACGCAAUUAAAGGAUAGCAUAGUAAUAAGGCACGAUUACUUGGUGAUGGUUGCAUAGCCACACUCACAUUAUAUGCACGUGCAAGGCUGCAGACAUUGACAGAGAUCUAAUGCACGAGAACAACCUGCCACAGAGCUCUAAAUCCAUCUCUAUAGCCCCUUCCCAGAAAUUUCCAGCCCCAAAUGUUUGCCUGGACAGCUCCUUCGCUGCUCUCUGCAGGAUGCAUGGCAGUGAGUGCUUGCAGUUAUUUCAGCCCUGGCUCCAGAUUGCAAAACAGGAGCAAUCUGCCGCCGGGGCUGAGUGCCAGCUGACCUCCUCAGCACCUCCGUGCAGAACACCAGGAGUUUUGGUACCUCCACGCAGAACACCAGGACUCUUCACUCCAGACACAUAAACUGGCAUCCCUGUGCUGAUGGCAUCCCAACCUGCUUUCAAACUAAAGUGCUCUGAAGGGCUGCCCAACUUCCCUGGGUCUCAAUACGAAAUACAACAGCUCGGAUGUGUAGGACCGAAGGAAAGCAAGUCCUGCACCUCUCCUCCAGUAGGGUGGCCAGGUCCCCUCCCUGCUGUUUUGGACAUGGGUCCAUGCAGAGCACCUGGGUUCCAGAGCCCCAAGGCAGGGCUGUCCCAGGGGGACACAGGAGGCUCUUCCUGCUGCUCAUCCUGGGGAGCAGCAGUGCAUUUUUUCUCAUCUAGCAAACCUCUUUCUUUAGGAAAAAAAAGAGCUUAUCAAGUUGGACUGGUAAGCCAUGCCCCUGUGCCAGCAAAAUGAGUAAAGAAAAUUAUCAAAUACAAGCAAAAAUCUUCCGUGGCAACUUAAUAUGGGAAGGAAAAGGAUUGCUGUUGCUCAGAGCAAAGGAUAACCACACCUCUGUGAUUUGGCAGUGCUCUUUCCGAGAGUUAACAAAACAGCAGGGUAAAGAAACUCCAUUGGAAGUGUUUUUGUAGACCUUCCCAACAUUUCUAAUAGAAACCCUC